rnacentral:misc_RNA from 1 species
GGCAAGGAGGUAAAAAUGUCCAAAAAAAAA